rnacentral:misc_RNA from 1 species
AAGUCGUAACAAGGUUUCCGUAGGUGAACCUGCGGAAGGAUCAUUAUCACGUUAUCCACGUUAUUACCAACCGUGAACUGUUCGGUCCGCAUUAGAGGUCUUCUCUUGUGUGUUAGACCAAAAAAAACCCACCUAAUUUAGAGGUUUCGGCUUCUAUUUGGGUGAUUUUUUUUGAACCAUUAACCAAUUGAACCAUAUCAAUUCAUAUUUUUUAUGUACUUACUAAGUUGUUUCUUACCUUUGUUAACUCAGAGGAAGAAAUGUUAUUUUAAAAAUACGUAACAUGAAAAAAAGAACAACUCUUAGCAACGGAUAUCUAGGUUCUCGUAACGAUGAAGAACGCCGC